GGAACUGAGAAGGUAUAAUUUUAUUCAAAUGUAUAUAUAUAGUAGACGUGGUUAUACCCUCUACAAAUAAUUUAAAUAUAUAUAACCGGAGUAGACGUGGUUACACCCUCUACUAAUAUUUUAACUACAUAUGGCCGGAGCACCGCCUAUUUACGGUACCAUAUAAUUUUGGGUAAUACCGAAAUAUAGUGGGAACCUUAAUUUAUAAAUUGCCUGCCUAUCGGAUAAUAAUUCUUUUGUGCCUAACUAACUUAUGCAGGAUUUUCCACUUAAAUAUAUUAUUGGUUGGAGAUAACCUGUAUACGCAGACGUCCGUAUGGCGGGUGAAAAUCCAUUUGUCAUUUUAUAUAUAGAUCUGUUCAUAAUAUCGAUGAUAAUAAUGAUGUACACAUUUAUUAUUGCUUACUUGUUAACGCAUCCGAUUCAGUAGGAUUUUAUGUAAUAUUUAC
rnacentral:lncRNA from 1 species